GGGGAAUAUUGGACAAUGGGCGAAAGCCUGAUCCAGCCAUGCCGCGUGUGUGAAGAAGGCCUUUUGGUUGUAAAGCACUUUAAGUGGGGAGAAAAAGCUUGUGGUUAAUACCCAUAAGCCCUGACGUUACCCACAGAAUAAGCACCGGCUAACUCUGUGCCAGCAGCCGCGGUAAUACAGAGGGUGCAAGCGUUAAUCGGAAUUACUGGGCGUAAAGCGCGCGUAGGUGGUUAUUUAAGUCAGAUGUGAAAGCCCCGGGCUUAACCUGGGAACUGCAUCUGAUACUGGAUAACUAGAGUAGGUGAGAGGGGAGUAGAAUUCCAGGUGUAGCGGUGAAAUGCGUAGAGAUCUGGAGGAAUACCGAUGGCGAAGGCAGCUCCCUGGCAUCAUACUGACACUGAGGUGCGAAAGCGUGGGUAGCAAACAGGAUUAGAUACCCUGGUAGUCCACGCCGUAAACGAUGUCUACCAGUCGUUGGGUCUUUUAAAGACUUAGUGACGCAGUUAACGCAAUAAGUAGACCGCCUGGGGAGUACGGCCGCAAGGUUA
rnacentral:rRNA from 1 species